rnacentral:rRNA from 1 species
UGGGGAAUAUUGGACAAUGGGCGAAAGCCUGAUCCAGCCAUGCCGCGUGUGUGAAGAAGGUCUUCGGAUUGUAAAGCACUUUAAGUUGGGAGGAAGGGCAUUAACCUAAUACGUUAGUGAUUUGACGUUACCGACAGAAUAAGACCGGCUAACUCUGUGCCAGCAGCCGCGGUAAUACAGAGGGUGCAAGCGUUAAUCGGAAUUACUGGGCGUAAAGCGCGCGUAGGUGGUUUGUUAAGUUGGAUGUGAAAUCCCCGGGCUCAACCUGGGAACUGCAUUCAAAACUGACUGACUAGAGUAUGGUAGAGGGUGGUGGAAUUUCCUGUGUAGCGGUGAAAUGCGUAGAUAUAGGAAGGAACACCAGUGGCGAAGGCGACCACCUGGACUAAUACUGACACUGAGGUGCGAAAGCGUGGGGAGCAAACA